rnacentral:rRNA from 1 species
GAUGAACGCUGGCGGCGUGCCUAAUACAUGCAAGUCGAGCGAACAGACGAGGAGCUUGCUCCUCUGACGUUAGCGGCGGACGGGUGAGUAACACGUGGAUAACCUACCUAUAAGACUGGGAUAACUUCGGGAAACCGGAGCUAAUACCGGAUAAUAUAUUGAACCGCAUGGUUCAAUAGUGAAAGACGGUUUUGCUGUCACUUAUAGAUGGAUCCGCGCCGCAUUGGAUGGUUGGGAAGGUCACGGCCUACCAAGGCAACGAUGCGUAACCGACCGGAGAGGGUGAUCGGCCACCCGGGAACUGGAACACGGUCAAGGCUCCUGCGGGAGGCAGCAGUAGGGAAUCUUCCGCAGUGGGCGAGAGCCUGACGGAGCAACGCCGCGUGAGUGAUGAAGGUGUUCGGAGCGUAAAACUCUGUUAUUAGGGAAGAACAAAUGUGUAAGUAACUAUGCACGUCUUGACGGUACCUAAUCAGAAAGCCACGGCUAACUACGUG